rnacentral:rRNA from 1 species
GGAGGAAUAUUGGUCAAUGGACGGAAGUCUGAACCAGCCAAGUAGCGUGCAGGAUGACGGCCCUAUGGGUUGUAAACUGCUUUUAUGUGGGAAUAAAGUCAGGGACGUGUCCCUGUUUGCAUGUACCACAGGAAUAAGGACCGGCUAAUUCCGUGCCAGCAGCCGCGGUAAUACGGAAGGUCCGGGCGUUAUCCGGAUUUAUUGGGUUUAAAGGGCGCGUAGGCCGGAGGGUAAGCGUGUUGUGAAAUGCAGUUGCUCAACAUCUGCACUGCAGCGCGAACUGGUUUCCUUGAGUACGCAUAAAGUGGGCGGAAUUCGUGGUGUAGCGGUGAAAUGCUUAGAUAUCACGAAGAACUCCGAUUGCGAAGGCAGCUCACUGGGCGCAACUGACGCUGAAGCUCGAAAGCGCGGGUAUCGAACAGGAUUAGAUACCCUGGUAGU